rnacentral:rRNA from 1 species
GAUGAACGCUGGCGGCGUGCCUAACACAUGCAAGUCGAACGGAGUUUAUUUAUUUGAGGCCUUCGGGCGGAUUAUUUAUAUACUUAGUGGCGGACGGGUGAGUAACGCGUGGGUAACCUGCCGUAUGCAGGGGGACAACAGUUGGAAACGACUGCUAAUACCGCAUAUGCGCACAGUACCGCAUGGUAGAGUGUGGAAAGAUUUAUCGGCAUACGAUGGACCCGCGUUUGAUUAGAUAGUUGGUGAGGUAACGGCUCACCAAGUCGACGAUCAAUAGCCGGCCUGAGAGGGCAAUCGGCCACAUUGGGACUGAGACACGGCCCAAACUCC